UAUCUCUGUAGAGUCUGCAUAUCAAUAAGCGGAGGAAAAGAAACUAACUAGGAUUCCCUUAGUAACGGCGAGUGAAGCGGGAAGAGCUCAAAUUUGAAAUCUUCAAGGUUCUACCUUGACGAAUUGUAGUUUAAAGAAGUGUUUUCUGUUGGAAUUUUGGUAAAAGUUCUUUGGAAUAGGACAUCAUAGAGGGUGAGAAUCCCGUAUUUGGUCAUUCCUUCUAGCUUUGUGAUACACUUUCAAAGAGUCGGAUUGUUUGGGAAUGCAGUCCAAAAUGGGUGGUAAAUUUCAUCUAAAGCUAAAUAUUGGCGAGAGACCGAUAGCGAACAAGUACCGUGAGGGAAAGAUGAAAAGAACUUUGAAAAGAGAGUUAAACAGUACGUGAAAUUGUCAAAAGGGAAGCGUUUGACACCAGUGUAGUUUUUCCGAAAAUCAAUUAUGAAUGGCUUGAUUUUAAGUUUCAUGACCUUAAAAGCUUGUUGCUUAUUUUUCAUGUCUUUCGUAAUGCACUUUUCGGUUAACAAGUCAACAUCAAUUUCUUUUGUUGUGAAAGGUUAAGAGGAAGGUGGCUUUACUUUCGGGUAAAGUGUUUAUAGCCUUUUAACUCUGCAAUCGGAGAGAUUGAGGUCUGCAGCGUAGAUCCUUCGGGGUUAGAUACAUUUGUGCUAAGUUAUAGCUUUUCAUAGACAACUUGUUGACUAUGAUAAGUCUUGUAAUUUACUCGCAGAUGCUAUUUUACCUACGCUUAGGAUGUUGAUGUGAUACUGCGAGCA
rnacentral:rRNA from 1 species